AGGGUUUGAUUCUGGCUCAGAAUGAACGUUGGCGGCGUGGAUCAGGCAUGCAAGUCGAACGAAUGCCGUGGGGGCAACUCUGCGGCGGAAGUGGCGAAAGGGGCAGUAAGGCGUGGAUAACCUGCCCCGGACUUCGGGAUAGCCUCCCUAACGGGUGGGUAAUACCGGAUGCCGUAGCGUGGUCGCAUGACCGUGCUACGAAAGCUCACAAGGCGGUCCGGGAGGGGUUCACGUGGUAUUAGCUAGUUGGUGAGGUAACGGCUCACCAAGGCCAAGAUGCCUAGCGGGUGUGAGAGCACGACCCGCGCCACUGGCACUGGGACACUGGCCAGACUCCUACGGGAGGCUGCAGUCGAGGAUCUUCGGCAAUGGGCGAAAGCCUGACCGAGCGACGCCGCGUGUGCGACGAAGGCCUUCGGGUUGUAAAGCACUGUCGUGGGGGAGAAAGGGGGCAACCCUUGAUCGACCCCAGGAGGAAGCUCGGGCUAAGUUCGUGCCAGCAGCCGCGGUAAGACGAACCGAGCGAACGUUAUUCGGAAUCACUGGGCUUAAAGGGCGCGUAGGCGGGCCAUCAAGUCAGGGGUGAAAGCCCCCAGCUCAACUGGGGAAGUGCCUUUGAUACUGGUGGUCUCGAGGGAGAUAGGGGCGUGCGGAACUUCCGGUGGAGCGGUGAAAUGCGUAGAUAUCGGAAGGAACACCGGUGGCGAAAGCGGCGCGCUAUCUCUUCUGACGCUGAGGCGCGAAAGCCAGGGGAGCGAACGGGAUUAGAUACCCCGGUAGUCCUGGCCCUAAACGUUGGGUACUAGGUUGUGGGCUUACGUGGGUUCACAGCCGGAGCAAAAGUAUUAAGUACCCCGCCUGGGGAGUAUGGUCGCAAGGCUGAAACUCAAAGAAAUUGACGGGGGCUCACACAAGCGGUGGAGCGUGUGGCUUAAUUCGAGUCUACGCGAAGAACCUUAUCCUGGGCUUGACAUGUGCGAAAGCGGUAGGCGUACCCUGGGGAAACCCAGGGGAACCUCGCAAGAGGGGACCUACCACAGGUGCUGCAUGGCUGUCGUCAGCUCGUGUCGUGAGAUGUCGGGUUAAGUCCCAUAACGAGCGAAACCCCUGUCUCCAGUUGCCAGCGAGUCAUGUCGGGGACUCUGGAGAGACUGCCGGUGUUAAACCGGAGGAAGGUGGGGAUGACGUCAAGUCCUCAUGGCCCUUAUGCCCAGGGCUGCACACGUGCUACAACGGCGUAUACAAAGGGAAGCAAACUCGCGAGAGUAAGCCAAUCCCAAAAAAUACGCCCCAGUUCAGAUCGAAGGCUGCAACUCGCCUUCGUGAAGUUGGAAUCGCUAGUAAUCGCGGGUCAGCAACACCGCGGUGAAUGUGUUCCUGAGCCUUGUACACACCGCCCGUCAAGCCACGAAAGAUCGGGGGGGGCCAAGUCGCCGCGCCAACUCGCAAGAGGAGCAAGCGCCUAACCCUCAACGGUCAAUUGGGACUAAGUCGUAACAAGGU
rnacentral:rRNA from 1 species